UACAUAGGUCCCGAGCGUUGUUCGGAUUCACUGGGCGUAAAGGGUGCGUAGGUGGUUGGGUAAGUCUGAUGUGAAAUCUCCGGGCUCAACCCGGAAAUGGCAUUGGAUACUAUUCGGCUAGAGGUUUGGAGGGGGGACUGGAAUUCUCGGUGUAGCAGUGAAAUGCGUAGAUAUCGAGAGGAACACCAGUGGCGAAGGCGAGUCCCUGGACAACACCUGACACUGAGGCACGAAAGCUAGGGGAGCAAACAGG
rnacentral:rRNA from 1 species